rfam:Triticum aestivum genome assembly, contig: Triticum_aestivum_CS42_TGACv1_scaffold_311019_4AS
UUUGUACUCCCUCCGUCCUAAAAUUCUUGUCUUAAAUUUGUCUAAAUACGGAUGUAUCUAGUUACAUUUUAGUGUUAGAUACAUUCGUAUCUAAACAAAUGUAAGACAAGAAUUUUGGGAUGGAGAGAAUACUAC